rnacentral:rRNA from 1 species
UACGGGGGGGGCAAGCGUUGUUCGGAAUUACUGGGCGUAAAGGGCUCGUAGGCGGCCAACUAAGUCGGACGUGAAAUCCCCAGGCUUAACCUGGGAACUGCAUCCGAUACUGGAUGGCUUGAAUUCGGGAGAGGGAUGCAGAAUUCCAGGUGUAGCGGUGAAAUGCGUAGAUAUCUGGAGGAAUACCGGUGGCGAAGGCGGCAUCCUGGACCGACAUUGACGCUGAGGAGCGAAAGCUAGGGGAGCAAACGGG